rnacentral:lncRNA from 1 species
CAAGUUAUAGGAGCUUUUAAAACAUAAAAAUGGUGUGUCUUGAUUUACUUUCCUUUCAAGACAGUGUUCUGUUCUUGAGCCUUCUCAUUGUUUUUUGCCUCUGGAAUAUUUUAUGUUUCAGUUGUAGCUGUGUUACUUGAGUUGCCACAUGACAUAAACCAAUAUUUGUGACAUAGACAUUUACAUUUUAGUGAUUUUAAAGCACUGUCAUUAUUAUUAUUAUUACUAUUUUUACUGUAAGCCAUUAUCUAACAUAAGUUUAUUUUUUCCACAAAGCGAUCUGGACCUUUACUAGAUACUUUAGAAUUGACCUGAAAUACUUUCAAUGACAGCUUUAUUUCUUUAAAUAAUGUGCUGAGGAGAAAAGUCUUUUUCCAUACAUGAUAGUAUUUCCCACUCCAUUGUUAAGCCUGGGAUCACAUUAACAGAACUGGUUAGCAGUGCCCCCUUUGCCCUUCAUAUAAGCUUCCUGAAGGCCUACAUACUGUAUCAAGUAGUGUAACUGUGUUAAUAAUUUAAACUAUGAUUUCCAUUCACAUAACACAAAAACCCAAGAACAUUUGAAAUGGUAGUUACUUGUUUUAAUUUGAUAAACUUGCAAAUGAUUUAGCAAAUUUUUUCUUUAUGUUUGUCACCUUGUAGUAUGUUCAUUAAAAAAAUCCACAAAUCAUUAAAUUUGAGUUUGUUCUUACCUUAUUAAGUGGACUUGGCUUAAAUGUGGAAUGGUCCUAAAAGUAUUCAACAGCCAGAUGCUAGGUUUUUCCUUAAAAAAAUAAGAAAGACUUUUAAUGUUAUACUUAAAAUGUAAAAUAUUAGUAUUAUAUGCAUUUAUUUUGUCUUUUUAGGGCUGCACCCACGGCAUUUGGAAGUUCCCAGGCUAGGGGUCAAAUCAGAGUUACAGCUGCCAGCCUACACCACAGCCAUAGCAAUGCAGGAUCCGAGCUACGUCUGUGAUCUACACCAGAGCUCAUGGCAAUGCCAGAUCCUUAGCCCACUAAGCGAGGCCAGAGAUUCAACCCGAAACCUCAUGGUUCUUAGUUGGAUUCCUUUCUGCUGAGCCACGAUGGGAAUUCCAUAGUAUUAUAUUUACAAUAUAUACUGAAAAAAUGAAAAGGAAGUCUCUAUUAUUGUUUUUAUCUGGAAGAUAAUCUAUCAAAAUCAUUUCAAACUAAUUUCUUUAUGUUUCCAACCAAACUCAUCUUCCACAACAGUUCACCUGGCCCAUCCUGUCCGCAUUGCCCUCACCCCCUUAUUUCACUUUAUGCUGGCAAAACUCUUUAAUUCUUUCCCUUCAUCUCUGGCUCCCCCCACCUUUCCUCCUCUCAAUAAUCCAUCAACAGGCUGCAGGAUUCUGUAUUUCCAAUUGUGCACAUGCUAUUUUUCAUUUCUAGAGUGAAACUUUCUAAAAAUAGCUAAACCUUGUAAUAUAGCAUCUUACUAUAUAUAUCUUGGUUCAAAUCAUGUUUCUGUCUACUAUUCAUUCCUUUCAUUAAAGGGCAGAACAUUUUAUUCUAUUUUUGUCUUUUUUUAGGGCUGCACCCAUGGCAUAUGGAAAUCCCCAGGCUAGGAGUCAAAUUGGAGCUACAGCUGCUGGCCUGCCCCAUAGCAACGUGGGUUCUGAGUAGCAUCUGUGACCUACACCACAGCUCACAACAACACCGGAUCCCUAACCACUGAGCAAGGCUAGGGAUUGAACCCACAUCCUCAUGUAUCCUAGUUGGAUUUGUUUCCAGGGAGCCACAACCGAACUCCCAAAAGGCAGAACAUUUUAAAUAAUGGUGGUAAGUUUACCACCCGCUGCCCCCGCAUCGGUAAUCCUUGAUAGAGAGAUCAAAAGUGUGCCUUGUGUGCCCUUUGUUUCCCAGACUAGGGUAGAAUUUGAAAUUGAUGGUGAAAUUAGUGGCCAGUUUAGCUUUUUGUGGAUCCAUGUGGAUAUGGGGCUGACUAAACGUGUCUUUUCCUAUUAUGGCACUCUGCUUAAAUCUGUUUCUGUCCCCUUUCUGCAGCAUGAUAAUCCUAGCUAAUAUUAUUAAUACCAAUAUAUAUGGCAGGCUAAGCACUUCCUAUACAUAAAAGGGUGUAUCCAGAUCUCAUCGUGCUCUCUUGGCCUAGGCAGGAUUGGCGACAUGUUCUUUAGAAUUUGAAAUGGAAAUCAUUUCUAGAAAAAAAAUUAUCUUGUGGGCGGUGACUGAGAAUUACCUGGCUGUCUGUGGCUUAAGAAUGAACCCAGGAUUCCCUUCAUUACACUUUAAAAAUAACUUUUGGGACAGGAUUACAUAAGUAUAAAAUAUGUUGAGAAUCUUGUAUAUAGUAAACGCUUGUUUUUUCAGCCCCCCUGAAAUUAAAGUAUCCCUGCAUCCAUUCCACCAUUACAGUUCCCAAGGAGAGAAGCUGCUUUGGGAAGACAAAGACGGGUGUAAAAGAAGUCUAAGGUUAAGUAAACACAAAGUCAGACAGGAGUUGAGGAAACGGGAUUCACUCUGUGGUGGGAAGGGGUGAUAAAAAAGCAAAGGAAUCUUGGGCCGCACUAGGAGGAAAACUAACGGUGGGGAUGGGAAGCCAAAAGCACCUCAUUGUGCCUCCAAAGGAGUGACAGAUGCUUCAGAGACUCAGGCACCACGACAGCGCUGCGCAAGCUGCAGGGGUCACAAAAGCUACAAAAGCUUCAAAAGCAGGAGCCAGAAGACACACAGGAGAGCCACGGCAUUAAUACCGCCAGUGUAAAACGCCGCUCAUCGCGAAGGCGUUACUCCUCAGCCUGAGGUGCGCCGCCUGCGUGGCUGUGCGUCGUGUGCGUGAUGGUUCGUGGCGCAGGGCAGCCUGGGAGCAGCGGGGUCAGUUCUGGGCAACCCGGACUGGUUAGGAGACUUCCCGGAACUCUGCCAUUGCCCCUCAAGGACCCAAAGGGGUCCAAAUCCCUCGUGAGCCCGGCACAUCCUCAGUAGGUUUCCUGGAACAGAGACCCAGGCUGGAGAUAGGUUAUGACACGCCGCCGGCAGGCUACACCGGGCAGGCUCCGCGGCGGAGCUCCGCACCGCCAUCUGGGAGAACGCGAGGGGAGAGAAGCCCUUAGCAGUCUGCCAUUACCUCCAGAGCACCUCGCUUAGCCGGAAGUUACUGUUCUACCCUGUGUCUUACAACCGUAAAAAAAGGGGGCACCCCAAUGGACUGGCUUACCCCGGAACUCUGAGAGUGCGAACUAGAGUGCCACGUCAUGUCAGUUAUAUGGAUAAGAAAGGAGCCACAUUUUUACGACACACGUGAGUGUAUUGUGUACUUUUUCAGUCUCGCAGGGCAGAAUUUGUUUUAAAAAAUAUAGAAAAGUGAAAUGAAAAAGUAAAAAAACCCCACAUUAAUCUAGGGGGACAUCUCUCAAUAUUUGAUAUGUUUUCCUUCAUUAAGUGCACAAUUGUAUCACAAAAUUGAGGUCAUGCUGUAUAUACAAUUUCCUGUCUCAGUUUUUAUACCUCAUGUUUUAUUUUGAGCAUUUUACCAAUUCUUCAAAUAUUCAAUGGCAUUAACUUGAUUGCACUCUUCACCUUCCUCCUCCCUUUUCUCAAAUGUUUCUUCUGGCCUCUUUACUGCCACAACUGUCUCCUUUAUACCUCUCCUGGGUCCAUCAGGCUUCCUCUUUUUCAGUCAUGCCUGUAUUUUGGGAAGCUUUUUGAGUAAUGUAGCUACCAGUAAGUGUUCAGAGACUGUUGCCUUGGACAUAUUCUCCAUUUAUGACUCAAUGCCUCAUCUAUAAAGUGAAUUGGAAUUAGGAAGCAAUGGGCUGACUGGCCUAUGAUUCCAUAUAUUGAGAGUAUUUUUGAGAGAUAAUUAAUACGAGCAGUCUUACUAGGGAAAAAAUAUUCAGAACCACCAUAAACUAUAUUCUUUAGUCUUCCAGCCAAGUCAUAAAUGUUCCUGGUGGAAAGGAGAGGGAGAGUGGUUCAGUUAGGAUUAAAACAUCAUGACUGUGGAAAAUGCUCAUAGCGUAGGAACAUGCUUCUCAGAGAACUGCUCUUUCUUCGCCUAUAUGCAGGAGAAGAUUCCUUUUACAAGUGGAAGGUUGUUUAUUAUUAUUAUUUUUGGGAAAUUUGGGUUUGUUUUUAUUUUCUUUCCUUAAGGCACCUGCAACUUUGCCCUCUUUAGGUAUGGCGAGUAUAGUUGGUAUCUUCUAAUCUUGGGGUGAUUUUUACAGAGAUAACUUUACUUCCUAAUUUGACCUUAAUCUAAAUAAGGAAAUGAGUCUAGAAUGGAUGACUACUCAGUUUUUACUGGUAAGUAGUCAAGAAAAGCUUUGGUUAGUUAUUUUAUAUUUUAAAACUUAAAGGCACCAGGUUUUAGGUUUGAUUUGGCUAUUUAAAUAUUUAUUUUAUAAGAAGAUAUUGAAAUUACUUUUUGAAGAACAAAGCAGGCACUGAAAAGGGAAACAUAUUCAUCCCCUUCAUCCCAUCUCAAAGUACACCCUUCCCAUAAAAAAACCCAGCAGAAUCCAAAUUUGGUCACUUCUCUAAAAUUGAAGAGAAAUAAUUUUGGGUUUGAAAUCUUGAACAAUGAUGAUUUGCUGGGGAUAUGUGAAGAUGGAAGGAUAACUUUAAGCUAAUGAGAAGGAAGGGGUUUAUUUUAGAAACAUUAUUUUAAGGGUAGACAUAUAAUUAUUGCCUGUUUUACUUCCCUGGCAAAGGUAGAGAUGCUAUUGUGUUUUGUAUUAGGUUCAUUUAAAAUAUGUAAAACUAGGAAUUCCUGUUGUGCCUCAGCAGAAAUGAGUCUGACUAGCAUCCAUGGGGAUGCAGGUUUGAUCCCUGGCCUUGAUCAGUGGGUUAAGGAUCUGGCGUUGCCAUGAGCUGUGGUGUAGGUCGCAGACAUGGCUUGGAUCCCAAGUAGCUGUGGCUGUGGUGUAGGCCAGAGGCUACAGCUCUGACUUGACCCCUAGUCUGGGAACCUCCAUAUGCCAUGGGUGUGGCC